GUCAGCCGUGGAGUCAAGUCGAGCUUCCAACAAAGCUCAACUCAAACUAAUUCCAAAAUUUUGGAAAAAGCGGGAGCGCGGGGUGACGAGUGGUGAAAGCGACCAUCAGCCGACCGUGGAAAAGCUCAAGGCCGAAAGCUGCUGCAGGAAUCCAUGGAACCGAUUGGCGGUGGUGGGGGAAACCACGUGUCUAGAAUAUAUAUCAGCCCCUGAUGUGCGUUAAAUAACGGAGAAAAAACUAACUAAAAACGGCUAUCCACUACAUGCUACGUUGCAGGAUUUCGACUUCCAUGAAUUGUAAAAAGUGUGAGAAGAGUGAAAACAGGAGCAGAAUUUCUGGAUUGUAGCUGUAGCAAGAUUGGGAAUUUCAUUAAGUUAAUGAACUUCGAAAAUCAGGUCAUUGAUCAUUCUGUAGAGGAAAUUUAAAUUUCAAUAAAGGAUUUUCUACAAAAGAAA